UCGAGGAUCAUUUGCAAUGGGCGCAAGCCUGACCCAGCAACGCCGCGUGAGGGAAGAAGGUCUUCGGAUUGUAACCCUCUGUCCUUGGGGACGAAAAAAAUGACGGUACCCAAGGAGGAAGCUCCGGCUAACUACGUGCCAGCAGCCGCGGUAAUACGUAGGGAGCGAGCGUUGUCCGGAAUUACUGGGCGUAAAGGGUGCGUAGGCGGCUUGGCAAGUCAGAUGUGAAAUCCCCGGGCUUAACUCGGGAGUUGCAUUUGAAACUGCUAGGCUUGAGUGCAGGAGAUGAAAGCGGAAUUCCUAGUGUAGCGGUGAAAUGCGUAGAUAUUAGGAGGAACACCAGUGGCGAAGGCGGCGUUCUGGACUGUAACUGACGCUGAGGCACGAAAGCGUGGGGAGCAAGCA
rnacentral:rRNA from 1 species